CAGGAUUAGAUGAGUUAUUCUAUGAUAUUGAUUAAUAUCAUAAUUUUAUUAAUAAAAAUUCACAGGUACUUAUGUCUUGUAACAGCCAUACAUUUACAAGGAAUGUAUCUUUUACUAUUUUAUUCAGAUAUCUAAGAGGGAGGCAGAAUCAUCAGGCACAUUUAUUUAUUAUUUUACUUUUUUUUUUUUAACGUUUAUUUAUUUUUGAGACAGACAGAGACAGAGCAUGAACGGGGGAGGGUCAGAGAGAGAGAGGGAGACACAGAAUCUGAAACAGGCUCCAGGCUCUGAGCUGUCAGCACAGAGCCUCAUGCGGGGCUGGAACUCACGGACCGCGAGAUCAUGACCUGAGCCGAAGUCGGACGCUUAACCGACUGAGCCACCCAGCCGCCCCUCAUCAGUCACAUUUAUAGAAAAUAAUCGGUUAUGAAGUGCAAAUGAAUAUGGAGAGAUUACAGCCAGCGCGAUCGCCUUCGAGGAACACUGUUUACACCUGCGUGUUACCUCAGGGCAUGGACACCAAGCGUCAGAUUGUGAUGGCUGCGUCUUCGCUUGGCCUUGGCGGGAAUGGGGAUUGGGGGGAGGAGUCUUCGCCUCCACGGCCUCCUUGCUAUUCAGCUCCCCUGCUGGCACUUACCCUGCAGGUCGACUCACCCCGGAAGGAAUCGCUCGAGUGGGGCCGAGGGCCGAGGGGCGGGCAUCGGGAGCGCCUCCCGCAAAGCGCUGAGGCGCCGGCAGCGAGGUGGCGUCAGCCAAAGCGGGGACCCCUUGAUGCUUUGACGGGGAGCACGCGAAAGUGUGGCGUCCCAACGCAGAAGAGACUUAACGUCCCUGGAGCAAAUCAAGAUGGCGUUCCAGACGUUGACACGACGCAGGAGGGAUGGCGGGGAGGCCGCGGGGCGUUCGCGAUAUCGUUACCGUGAAAUUUUCCGAAGGUAAAGUAUUUAGCGCCGAAAAGCCGCACGUCGUGGUGUUCUUGUGGUAGAAAGCAAAAAAGAAAAGAAAUGAAAUGUAAAUAACAUAUAUAAAACUGCAUGACGGUUUCCCGUGCGCAGAGACUAUCCUCUUGUACAUGAACCUUCUUGAAUGUCUGAGGCAAAUUCCUCCUCACUCUUCGGUGAGAAUCCCUUAACUGUGAGGAAACGACACAAAUGCAUAGAGUUUGAAUCUUCCCUUCGAUAGAGCAUGUUCCUAUAUAUCAGCACAACUAUGACUUUGAAAGUUUAGAGGUUUAUCCCCCAUUCCCUUUCUUUGCAUGGAUUUUGCCUGGAAAUUCUUUUCUGUUCGCACAGGGUGUGCGCGCGCGCGUGUAGUCACCGUGUGUACGUGGUUGUGCUGUGUUUUCGUGGAAGUGUUUCUUUGCAAGAAUUCUGCAGCCGAGGCCGCCCCGCCAGGCGGGGGACGUGCAGCUGGUUAUUGGUCUGCCAUAUUGGAGGAAAUACUACAAGGUGUUGCGUCGGCAUUUCCAUUGUUGUCUGGCCUGAGUUGACCGUGUCUUGCAUGUUGGGCUAUUUGAGUAUAUGAGUAUUUGGGAGAUUACUCUUAUGAUACACAGGGAUAAAAUAGUGCCCUCGGGAGUCGCCCUGAGGGGAAUAAAUAUUUUCACGAGCUCA
rnacentral:lncRNA from 1 species